rnacentral:tRNA from 1 species
GGGGGAGAUGGACGAGGCCGGCGAAUAUGAAUUCUCGUUCGAGACGACGGGGUUCGGCGAGGAGCAGCCGCUCCGGAUCGUCGCCCAGCUCCCCCA